rnacentral:rRNA from 1 species
GCAUAACGCGAAGAACCUUACCAAGGCUUGACAUCCCCUUGACCGGCACAGAGAUGUGCCCUCUCCUUCGGGAGCAAGGGUGACGGGUGGUGCGUGGUUGUCGUCAGCUCGUGUCGCGAGAUGUUGGGUUAAGUCCCGCAACGAGCGCAACCCUUAUCCUUAGUUGCCAGCAGGUAAAGCUGGGCACUCUAAGGAGACUGCCGAUGAUAAAUCGGAGGAAGGUGGGGAUGACGUCAAAUCAUCAUGCCCCUUAUGUCUUGGGCUACACACGUGCUACAAUGGUCGGUACAAAGGGAAGCGAAGGAGUGAUCUGGAGCAAAUCCCAAUAAACCGAUCUCAGUUCGGAUUGUAGGCUGCAACUCGCCUACAUGAAGUCGGAGUUGCUAGUAAUCGCGAAUCAGAACGUCGCGGUGAAUGCGUUCCCGGGUCUUGUACACACCG